rnacentral:lncRNA from 12 species
GGGCAUUUUUAAUUGCAAUCCCCCCGGACCGGGCUUGGACAUGGGGGCCCAUAUCCAAGUCCCCCAGAAAUUUUGGGGGGGGGAGCCCCCCCCCCCCCCCCCCCCGCAGCAUCCCAUCACCCCCCCAGCCUUUUGGGGGGAGUAGCUGCCGCCUUCUGCUGUCUCCCCCGAGCCCGGGCGCAGGAAGGCCUCAUGCCCCUGGGCCACGGUGGAAUGUUCACGAACAGCAGCCCCAGCAAAGCAGGAUAAUGGCACCGCUGGGCAUCUGCAGAGCGCGGUCUGGGUGUUGCAGAGGCUGUGGGGCCCUGGGCGGCCCGCGAGGCUGCUCCUCCUCCGAAGCUCAGAUCCCCGUGGGGGAAGAAGGGAUACCUGCAAGGUCCAAGCCACCCGCGUGUGCCACGACUGUUGGGGUGCCCGUGCAGGAAAGGGGUGUCCAGACCAGUGGGGGCCAGCAGGAAGGGGGACCCGGCUUGUUUCACGACAUCCCAUGUUUGCAUUUCCGAGGCCAAGUCAGGGGACCAGGUCGGAAAGCCUGGCUCCCGGCCGGCCCGACCCCGAGCACUGCGGCUGCGGAAGAACCAACUGCCCCAGGCGCUCAGCCCCGAAUCCUCCGGGGGCCACGGGGACACGCCUCUGCCCGCUGGCCCUUGCCCUCCCCGCGCUCCAUCCCCCGGCUGGGCGGCGGCUGCACAGGCUGCUGUGCUGGGGAGCUAACGAUGGGGCGGGGGGGGGGGAAGGCCUCCCCCGGGGUGCUCCCUCCGGGGCGCCCGCCUUCCCUGGGGACAGGCUCGCUGCAGCCGGUGGGGGGGCAGGGCCCAGGUGGGUGGCGGGUGCGAAGCCCCUGGGACCCUGGGUGCCGGGAGGGCAGGCCUCCGAGGGGGAGGGUCGUCCCCGGUGGGUUAAGGAGGCUGGAGCCGGGGUUUAGACCUCCGGCCCCCAAAGGCCCCCAUCGUCCCGGGUCCCUCUGGCGACGCCCGGCCUAUCUCCCGGCCAAUCCGCGCAUCACUGGAUUUCGAGGACACGGCCCAGCCCUCCUGGCUCCACCGACGGGACCGGCUGCCUUUAGGGGGCUCGACCCCCCUCCUUUUUUUUCUUUUCCAAAUAUUUUAUUUGUUUUCCCAUGGGACCCAGAGAGCGAGUUAGAGACCCAGGCUGAGGGAGCAGCAGGCCCGAUGCGGGGAAUCUGAUGCGGGACUCGAUCCCGGGCCCCCAGGGUCACGCCCUGGGCCCCUGAGCCCCCACGGCCCUGUGGGCGGACCCCCACGUGCCCCCGCAGGGCGCCCCCAGCACCGACGGUCCCGAGAGUCAGUCCCGGAUCCUCCACGGCCGGGGUGGACCCCAGGUGGCCCGCGAGUCGGGAAACGGAAUUC